rnacentral:rRNA from 1 species
UACGGAGGGUGCAAACGUUGCUCGGAAUCAUUGGGCGUAAAGCGCACGUAGGCGGCUCGUUAAGUCGGAUGUGAAAGCCCUCGGCUCAACCGAGGAAGUGCAUACGAAACUGGCGAGCUUGAAUAUGGAAGAGGGUCGCUGAAUUCCCGGUGUAGAGGUGAAAUUCGUAGAUAUCGGGAGGAACACCAGUGGCGAAGGCGGCGACCUGGGCCAAUAUUGACGCUGAGGUGCGAAAGCGUGGGGAGCAAACAGG